rnacentral:rRNA from 1 species
UACAGAGGGGGCGAGCGUUGUUCGGAAUUACUGGGCGUAAAGAGCUCGUAGGUGGUUUGUCGCGUUGUUCGUGAAAACUCACAGCUUAACUGUGGGCGUGCGGUCGAUACGGGCAGGCUCGAGUUCGGUAGGGGAGACUGGAAUUCCUGGUGUAGCGGUGAAAUGCGCAGAUAUCAGGAAGAACACCCGUGGCGAAGGCGGUUCUCUGGGACGGUACUGACGCUGAGACGCGAAAGCGUGGGGAGCGAACAGG